UCAAUGUAUUAGUGAACCUGAAGGGAGUGGAAAAAAGAAGAAAAGCAAGUAGCCACUCCUCGUCCUACUUGCUCUUGGGUGAACUUCAGAUGACAUGCUUAUUUGACCGUGACUUUAUUAAAGAGCAUAGUACACCAGUUAGUUACUCUCGUCCUACUUGCUCUUGCGUGCACUUCCUGAAUCUUCAGGGUGAAAGCUGCCACAAAGGCAGCAUCAGAUGCAUUGGAAGCUGAUGGGUCCUGGGGAGAAGGUACAGUACGCUACUCGUGCCCGUGAAGUGUGGGAUAAGUACCUUAGCAGGUUCAACUUUAUUGACUUUCAGUUGACGCUUCCACUUCUCUAUAUGUGAAUUUGUCAUCUGCUUCAGGUAUGUUCUCUGUAACAUCUGUUGAUAAGAUUACCAUGCUUAAGAUCAUGAUAUGCAUUAAGUUUAUGUGAUAGCAUGAACACCUGUGCUUAAAGCUUAUGUUUACAAGUAUUCCGUUAGUUAAUUCUGAUCCAUUGAUGACAUUCGUUCCUUUGUCAUUAACUCUGAUCAUGUCCGUGAUAUUCUUAGGUGGUUUUGGAGUUGUUUGGUGUGACUCUAAUAUGAUGCUAAAAGCUCUAAAAACACGUUAACAAUCAGUCUAUUUAUACAUUGCACCAAAAAAAGAAAUCAUAAUAAAAUCCUAACUUGUUCAUCAAAUUAUAAAUAGAAAGCUUAAACAUAUAUAUAACAAAAGAUAAAAAAA